rnacentral:rRNA from 1 species
CCUACGGGUGGCAGCAGUGAGGAAUAUUGGUCAAUGGGCGCGAGCCUGAACCAGCCAAGUAGCGUGAAGGAUGACUGCCCUACGGGUUGUAAACUUCUUUUAUAAAGGAAUAAAGUGAGGCACGUGAGCCUUUUUGUAUGUAUUUCAUGAAUAAGGAUCGGCUAAGUCUGCGCCAGCAGCCGCGGUAAUACGGAGGAUCCGAGCGUUAUCCGGAUUUAUUGGGUUUAAAGGGAGCGUAGAUGGGUUGUUAAGUCAGUUGUGAAAGUUUGCGGCUCAACCGUAAAAUUGCAAUUGAUACUGGCAGCCUUGAGUACAGUUGAGGUAGGCGGAAUUCGUGGUGUAGCGGUGAAAUGCUUAGAUAUCACGAAGAACUCCGAUUGCGAAGGCAACUUGCUAGACUGCCACUGACGUUGAUGCUCGAAAGUGUGGGUAUCAAACAGGAUUAGAUACCCUUGUAGUC